GGGGCUGUGGCUCAGUGGCAGAGCACUUGCCUAGUAUGCGUGAGGCAUUGGGUUCCAUCCUCAGCACCA
rfam:Ictidomys tridecemlineatus contig097920, whole genome shotgun sequence.